UUGCAACAUAGGUAAUGGUAUCUCUUAGACUUCCACUUCGAGUCGCUCCAUUGCUUAGUGGUCGUGUUAUGUCAAAUAGUCAGACUUAUAAAGAUUAAUAGUCUAUUAGGAUUGUAUUAGCUUAAACUUGAGGUUGUGUAAUGAAAACCACUUGUGAUUUUGCAAUUACUUUGAGUUGUUAAAUCUGGUUUUUGGUAUCUGGAUGUUACGUUUUAAA